rnacentral:rRNA from 1 species
GAUGAACGCUGGCGGCGUGCCUAAUACAUGCAAGUCGAGCGAACGGACAAGAAGCUUGCUCCUUUAAUGUUAGCGGCGGACGGGUGAGUAACACGUGGAUAACCUACCUAUAAGACUGGGAUAACUUCGGGAAACCGUAGCUAAUACCGGAUAAUAUUUCGAACCGCAUGGUUCAAUAGUGAAAGAUGGUUUUGCUGUCACUUAUAGAUGGACCCGCGCCGGAUUAGCUAGUUGGUAAGGUAACGGCUUACCAAGGCUACGAUGCGUAGCCGACCUGAGAGGGUGAUCGGCCACACUGGAACUGAGACACGGUCCAGACUCCUACGGGAGGCAGCAGUAGGGAAUCUUCCGCAAUGGGCGAAAGCCUGACGGAGCAACGCCGCGUGAGUGAUGAAGGUCUUCGGAUCGUAAAACUCUGUUAUUAGGGAAGAACAUAAGUGUAAGUAACUGUGCACGUCUUGACGGUACCUAAUCAGAAAGCCACGGCUAACUACGUG